ensembl:lncRNA
AAAUAAAGGUACAAAAAUUAAUAAAAUGAAGUCUGCUGUGUGGUUGCCAGAUAAACACAAACUUAACACAUUUUUUGUAUUGUAUUUAUUAUGGAUCCCCAUUAGCUUACUCUUCCUCGGGUCCAGCUAAAUUAAGUCAGUUAUACAAUUUGAAAAAUAUUACAAUACAUUCACAACACAUUGUGUGCCCUCAAGCCUCUACACUACUACCACAUAUCUACAACACAAAAUCCAUGUGUACGUGUGUGUACAGUGCAUAUGAUAUUGUGUGUAUGCCUGUGUUUCCCUUCACAGUCCCCGCUGUUCCUUAAGGUGUAUUUUUAUCUGAUUUUUUAAAAUCUAAUUUUACUGCUUGCAUGAGUUUCUUGAUGUGGAAUAGAGUUCCAUGUAGUCAAGGCUCUAUGUACUACUGUGUGCCUCCCAUAGUCUGUUCUGUUUAGGUUAGUGUGAAGUCAAGGCUUUGUCAUUAAAGUAAUAUUGUGCCUAUCUUUCAAAUCUGCCAACCAGGCUCAGUGGGUGACCGGUAACAAUGAUUCAACCAAGCUGUUCCAGGCCUGGAGUGGCACGCUGGAACUUCCAGAGGCUUGUAGACCUGAAGCAGUGUGAUGUGAUCCAGGUAAUUAUCACACACGUAUACUCAUUCUGUUUUGUUGUAUAAUUAUUUUAACUUAAGAAAAUUGUUACUCUCUCUUUUAGAUCUGACAUCCCUAUUAGCUCAACCACAGUCCUCACAGCUGAAGUCGUCUGCCCCUGCACCUGCUACACCAGCCACGACAGGUGAUACAGAUCUGCCACCCCCAGCAGUUCAGCUGCAGUCACAGCAGUCCUCUGCUGUGGUAUUUCAUUUACCGGCUGCACCAGUUCCUACUACACUGGCCAUGAAGGGAGAUACUAUUGAGGAGACCCAGAUGGAUACAGAUCUGCCAUGCACUCCACCCAGUGCCUGACAGACUCAUCUCUGAGAAAGCAGAGAUGGGUGGCUGACAAGGAAAAAUAAAACACAACACACACUCUCUCUCUCUGUCAUACACACUCACACACGUUAUCCCCAGUGUAAAUGAGUUGUAUUUACUUGUUUAUUUUAUGUUUGCUCAAUUUGAUUUUAGGAUUUGAGAUAUCUAUUCCUACAUAUCCAUUCUCAAUAUCUACAUAAUUACUCUAAAUAUCUAUCAAAUCAAAGUGUUAUUGAUAUUGUAAAAGACUUGCUUAAUUUGUAUAGUUUGAGGAAAUUCUGUGUGCUUUUUAAAAACAUGCCUCCCUCUCACACACACAUUAGACCCAAUGUAAAUACAUUGUUUAUUUUAUGUAUGCUCCAUUUUGUUUGAGGAUUGUCAAAUCAAAGUUUUUUUUGUCACGUGUG